rnacentral:misc_RNA from 1 species
GGAAGUAGAAGUCGUAACAAGGUUUCCGUAGGUGAACCUGCGGAAGGAUCAUUCAUAAUAAAGUGUUUUAUGGCACUUUUUAAAAAUCCAUAUCCACCUUGCGUGCAAUGUUAGAUCUCGUCAAUCUUGGCGAGAUUUUUAUACAUCAACUCAUUCUUUAACUAAUUUGUCUGAAAAAUAUUAUGAAUACUUAAUUCAAAAUACAACUUUCAACAACGGAUCUCUUGGCUCUC